ACAAGUCUAUUUCGUUCGCUUUCCAGAUUCACUUCUUUGUCACUUCAAUGUAUACUUUACUAACUAUCUUCUUCGAAUUCAAAUAAGUUUUAAUUUUCCUAUUACAGAGUGGGUUUAGUUACUAUCUUCUUCGUUCGCUUUCGGGUGGUGGAAGGAUUCUGGUCCGACGGCUCUAGUUAACGUGGAAUUCAAAGACGCUGAGAAGAUGCUUCCACGCAUAAGAGAGAGUUGCGAAUAAUGUGAUUUCCCUAGCGAUAUUCGAGUGUACCUAAUGAUUACGAUAGAAUAUCACGAUCCUUUCGUCGUGUUGUAGUACUGUACAGGAGAAGCUGAAAAAGACAUUGGUCUUCUUAUGAGAAACGGUAUGAUAUUUUGUUCCUUGCAGCUUUUUAUUGCUUCAAGAUGCCUGUAGUGACUAGUGAGGUGUUGGAAUUAGAAGUUUCUGAAAUCUGCUGAGUGUUGCAAGUUGGGGAUCAUGGGCGGUAAAAUUUUGAUGAAAUGGCCGAAGCAAAUUACAGCUGGUCUAGUUGAGCAGCUAAUAAAAGCAGAAAGGGACAUACAUAAAGCUCUUGUGAUAUUUGAUUCGGCAACGGCUGAGUAUAAUAAUGGGUUCCGUCAUGAUCACAAUACUUUUGGUCUCAUGAUCUGUAGGUUAGCCUCCGCGAACCAGUUCAGAUCAGCCGAAGGGAUGCUUCACAGAAUGAAGGAAGAAAAUUGUACGGUCACGGAAGAUAUAUUAUUAACCAUUUGCAGAGCUUAUGGACGUGUUCAUAGACCCCUUGAUGCCAUCAGGAUUUUCCGUGGGAUGGUAGACUUUCAGUUAAGACCCACCCAAAAAUCCUAUAUUACAAUAUUUGAUAUCCUAGUAGAGGAAAACCAUUUAAAGAUGGCGCUUAGUAUUUAUAGGGAGAUGAGAGAAAUGGGCAUUCCACGAAGUGUUGUUUCUCUGAAUAUUUUGAUCAAAGCCCUGUGCAAAAAAAAUGAAACAAUUGAUGCUGCUUUACGGAUAUUUUGUGAGAUGCCAGAUCGAGGAUACCCACCAGAUUCUUAUACAUACGGUACUUUGAUUAAUGGGCUGUGUAGACAGGGAGAAAUCGCCCACGCAAAGGAUUUAUUCUAUGAGAUGAGGCAGAAAGGCCUUGCACCUUCUGUUGUUACCUAUACUUGCUUGAUACGUGGAAUGUGUCAGUCCAAUAAUGUGGAUGAAGCUAUGAAAUUAUUUGAGGAGAUGAAAAGAACUGACAUCGAACCAAAUGUUUUUACUUACAGUUCUCUAAUGGAUGGUUUAUGUAAAGGUGGUCAAUCUUCUCAAGCAAAGGAGCUGUUAGAUAUGAUGGUCAAAAAACAUCAUUUGCCUAACAUGGUUACUUAUAGUACAUUAAUUCACGGACUGUGUAGUGAAGGAAAGCUUAGUGAAGCAGUGGAGGUUCUAGACAGGAUGAGGCUUCAAGGUUUAAAGCCAGAUGCAGGGCUGUAUGGGAAAAUCAUAAGUGGCUUCUGUGACGUAGGCAGGUAUCAGGAAGCUGCAAACUUCAUCGAUGAGAUGGUGCUUAGUGGUGUCUCACCUAACCGAGUAACUUGGGUCCGUCAUGUGAAAAUCCAUAACAUGGUGGUCCAAGGCCUAUGCAACAACAUUGAUCCAACACGUGCUUUUCAGUUGUAUCUCAGCAUGCGCACUAGGGGUAUCUCUGUUGAAGCUGGCACUUUUGAGUGUUUAGUUAAAUGCUAUAGUAAGAAAGGAGACGAGCACAAAGCUGCUCGCAUUUUUGAUGAGAUGGUGUUAGACGGUUGUGUUCCAGAUGAGGGAAUCUGGAAUGCAGUGAUGAGUGGACUUUGGGAUCGAAAGAAGGUGAGAGAAGCUACUGAGCUCCUGCUGGCUGGGCUGAUGCAUGACUUUGUUGAACCUCAAAGCUGAAUCUUUAUAAACUUUUGAUCCCUUUUCUCUCUUUUCCAAUGGUUAAUGUCUCCUGAUGAAGUGAUGAUUAGAGCCUUCAUGAUUUGUAAAUAAAGCUUCAAAUUGAGGAAUUGGACACUUUCUUAUUUCUUUCCCAACCUCCUUAAAAACUCUGGUGAUGAGCCUGCUUGGAGGGAGGUAUCUGCUAGAGUCGUUGGGCAAGGUAAGCUCUAUGAUUUGUGCGGUCUCCUGCUUCAUUCAAAGCCAUUACUCAUGAUUGAAGUUCUUUGCCUAUGCACUGUAAACUUUUCAGUCAGGCGCUGUAAAUUUCCUAAAUCAAAGCAUGCGUUUUUCACCCUUGUUCUUCAUUUAUUCAAUUAUUGCAUUGUUGUUGAAGUUUUUUAUUUAUGGA